ACUCAUCAACUUUACUUAUUGCUUAUAAAGCUGUAACAUAACAGUUAGCGUUCCGCAUCGCGGGUGGCACAUCUCAUUGUUCUUAUGGCUUGAACCCUGGCGAAGAAGGUUCUGUUCUGAGCUGGCUUAUUCUUUUUCGAAUAAGAGGUUGAUACAUCCCGUGGAAACUUGAAGGCAUUCCUAGUUGGCUCUUUGCAAAACCUUUACGGAUUGAUCAAGAACAGACUUCAAGGAUUGAAUAUUCAGUGAAUUCCUGGAGAGGAUGGUCACAGGACGCAUAACUCUAAGCACAUAUGGCCACAGUUGUCCCCAGGGGAUUAGAAUUUUUGCGGAGAUCCAACAAAUAUCCACGAAAGUAUAGGAACAAACAGCAAUGAACAAGAUGAAUCUGGAAAGAUAAGUUCCCGCAGAACCCAUUCAAAAAGAUGCUGCUUGAUUCUUUCAAGUCCCUGAAGGUCUGCAUCAAUUGAGUUCGCCACUUCCUUCCCAACCCAUCCUUGAGGAUAACCUCCUCCCAAAUCAAUCAAAUAUGCAUCUUCAUUGACAUCAACUAGCACAUUGGCAGCUUUUGCAUCUCCCC
rnacentral:sRNA from 2 species